rnacentral:rRNA from 1 species
AUUAACGCUGGCGGUGUGCCUAACACAUGCAAGUCGAGCGCCCUGGACCCUGUUUCUAAAGAAUUAGAGAUAGAGUCCAGGGAGCGGCAGACGGGAGAGUAAUACGUUGAUAAUUGCCCCAAAGUCAGGGAUAAGCCUUAGAAAUAGGGUCUAAUACCGGAUGGUAUCGAAAGAUUAAAGCAGCAAUGCGCUUUGGGAGAUGUCUGCGGCCUAUCAGCUAGUUGGUGAGGUAAUGGCUUACCAAGGCGAUGACGGGUAGCUGGUCUGAGAGGACGAUCAGCCUCAAUGGAACUGAGACACGGUCCAUACUCCUACGGGAGGCAGCAGUGAGGAAUUUUUCGCAAUGGGGGAAACCCUGACGAAGCAACACCGCGUGAAGGAUGAAUGGCUUUUGCUUGUAAACUUCUUUUUUGAGGGAAUAAAUAUGAAGGUACCUCAAGAAUAAGCAUCGGCUAACUACGU